AUGCAAUCGCUCAUCUCACUGUUGGGAAUGGGGGAAAGUUGGAAAAAGAGGAUCUGGUUUUCAUAUAACAGUGUGAAGGCAUGAUUUUGAUUGUGAGGGCUAGGGAAGUUGAGCUCUCAAACUCAUAAAAGGGAAAGCAGGAAAUAAGAAGGAAACUGAUUAAAGCAGCAAAAUAAAAGAAAAAAAGAUGAAAUAAUGUGAAAUAAAUAGUGUAAGAUAAAAAAUAAAAUCAGAUAUAGUGGUUAUUACUCUAAAGACAAAUGGACUAAAUUCUGUCAAACUAGGUUUAAAAACAACAGUUAAAUGCUCUUAGAAUAUUGAAAAUGAAGGGGCAUGCCAAGAACUAGCAGGCAACAGCUGAUAAAUUUAAGAAAUGCAGCACUACUUUCAGAUAAGAUUGAAUUUAAGAUUGGAAUAUAAUCGAAUCUUAAAUGAGAUAAAGAGGGAUAUUAUCUGAUGACAAAAGAUACAGUUUAUUAAGAUAAUAUGAAAGUCAUCAUACAAAAUAGCAACUAUAGUAUGAAGGAUUUCCAGAGCUCUGCCCUCAUCUCCAAGAGUCGCUUUUCUGUAAUCCUCCGGAUUAUUGGCUGUGAGCGCCAUUAAAAUUUUAUUUUAAUGCUAUAUUGUAAAAAUUAAAUGGCAGAGGAUUUCUUAAAUUUAUGCCAUGUAACUGCUUUCCUAUGAAGCUCUGUUACUUGCAGAGAGCCAGCCAUCUGCACUUGAACAAAUCUGUUAAAAACCUGCCUUUCAUAACCCUGACAAUGGAAAUAGUUGCCAAACAGGUAAAGAUUCAGGGUGACCUCUCCUGGAGUGAAGGAACGAGGGGAUCGGAGGGACCUCUCCUGGAGUGAAGGAACGAGGGUCGCUGUCUUGCAGAUGCGGGGUGUCCCUGCGCCCCCAUCUCCGCCGCUGCGCCCUAACUGUGUGUUCCCCUUCUGUCCUCAGAGGCUGCCGGCGCGGACCCGGACACAAGGCGGGCGGCGACUAGUGGCUUCACUGGCUGCCUCUCGGCGGUGCGCUUCGGCUGCGCUGCUCCCCUGAAGGCGGCGCUGCGCCCCAGCGGCCCCUCCCGGGUCACCGUCCGCGGCCACGUGGCCCCUAUGGCCCGCUGCGCGGCGGGGGCGGCGUCCGGCUCCCCGGCGCGGGAACUGGCUCCCCGACUCGCGGGGGGCGCAGGUCGUUCUGGACCAGUGGAUGAGGGAGAGCCCUUGGUUAAUGCAGACAGAAGAGACUCUGCU
rnacentral:lncRNA from 10 species